UACGAGAGGCCCAAACGUUAUUCGGAAUUACUGGGCUUAAAGAGUUCGUAGGCGGCGCGGAAAGUAGGGUGUGAAAGCCCUCGCUUAACCGAGGAAUUGCGCCCUAAACUACCGUGCUUGAGGAAGCUAGAGGUGAGCGGAACUGAUGGUGGAGCGGUGAAAUGCGUUGAUAUCAUCAGGAACACCAGUGGCGAAGGCGGCUUACUGGUCCGGAACUGACGCUGAGGUGACGAAAGCGUGGGGAGCAAACAGG
rnacentral:rRNA from 1 species